rnacentral:rRNA from 1 species
UACGGGGGGAGCAAGCGUUGUUCGGAUUUACUGGGCGUAAAGGGCGCGUAGGCGGCGCAACAAGUCACUUGUGAAAUCUCCGGGCUUAACUCGGAAAGGUCAAGUGAUACUGUUGUGCUAGAGUGCGGAAGGGGCAACUGGAAUUCUCGGUGUAGCGGUGAAAUGCGUAGAUAUCGAGAGGAACACCUGCGGCGAAGGCGGGUUGCUGGGCCGACACUGACGCUGAGGCGCGAAAGCUAGGGUAGCAAACGGG